rnacentral:tRNA from 1 species
CCUUCGAUAGCUCAGUUGGAAGAGCGCGAGACUGUAAUGGGUUGCCAUAUCUCGAUGUCGCUGGUUCGAUCCCGGCUCGAAGGA